rnacentral:tRNA from 1 species
GGAAGUCUGGCAGAGUGGUCUAUUGCCGCUGUUUUGAAGGCAGAUCGGUCGGGCGAUCCCCGGCGCAGGGGUUCGAAUCCUCUGACUUCCGCCA